UACGGAGGGUGCAAGCGUUAAUCGGAAUUACUGGGCGUAAAGCGCUCGUAGGCUGUUUAUCAAGUCAAGGGUGAAAUCCCCGUGCUUACCAUGGGAACUGCCUUUGAAACUGGUAGACUUGAGUAUGUGAGAGGAUGGCGGAAUUCCGGGUGUAGCAGUGAAAUGCGUAGAUAUCCGGAAGAACACCGGUGGCGAAGGCGGCCAUCUGGCACAAAACUGACGCUGAGGAGCGAAAGCGUGGGUAG
rnacentral:rRNA from 1 species